CCUAAGGGAUUUACCCCAAAACAAUGCCCCAUGCCCUGCUCUUUACCUCCAAGCCCCGCCCCCUUUCCUCAUCUCCAGGGAGGGACCCCAGAAGCUCAUAUAGGACCUCAAACACCCAAGUCCCCAAGUCCCUGAUUUCCCCCCAUAGAGACCCCAAAAGCCCUGAUCUCCCCCCAUGGUGACCCCAAAACAAAACCCCCAAUAGUACCUCAAACCCCCAUGGUGUGACCCCAAACCCUUGAUCUCUUCCCAUAAAGACCCCAAACCCCCACGGAAGGAGCCCAGAGCUCCCCGAACCCCCUGCAGGACACCAAGCCCUCCCAGAGAAGCCCCUCAGUGCUGAUCCCGAUCUACGGGGUGACCCAAAAUCCCCCUAAUGCCCUUUCCCCCCUUAGUGCCCCCCCGGGCUGGGACAAGUGUGGAGCAGGGCUCUGCUCUGCGGCCGGCGAGGCGCGGGCGCUCCCAGUGGGACAGCAAUCCACGACCAUAAAGGACAAACAGAGACCUUUGAAGGGAUCCAAGGCUCCUGGACAGGAGCUCCGGGAGAUCCCUGGAGGUGGCUGGGCGCAGGAGAAAUAAAAAUGAAUUUUAAAAAUGCCAA